ensembl:lncRNA FAM74A1 family with sequence similarity 74 member A1
CAGGGUAGGGCUCCAGCUAAGCCACGUAGGCACUACGAUGGGCAACAGAAAGGUUGGUUUCUGGGCAAUUCAGAGAAACCAAGGACAGCUACCCCCAGAACUCAGAGUAGCCAACUGGGCUGCUCACAGGAGAUGCCUUAACUGAAAGGUGAUCAGACUCCACAGGAGACCCAGAGAAGAUGUGGAGGGAGCUCAGAGGCUGUCCUGGAGGAGACGUGGAGACAGCUCAGAGGCUGUCCCAGAGAAGACGUGGAAAGAGCUCAGAGGCUGUCCCAGAGAAGACGUGGAGAGCUCAGAGGAUGUCCCAGAGAAGACGUGGAGAGAGUUCAGAGGCUGUCCCGGAGAAGACGUGGAAAGAGCUCAGAAACUCAGAGACUGUCCCGGAGAAGACAUGGAAACAGCUCAGACGCUGUCUGCAAGAAGAUGUGGAGAGAGUUCAGAGGCUGUCGUUACUGCUGCACUUGGCUGUUUUUCUUUGGAUAAUUAUUGCAAUCAAUUUUAGUAAUUCAGGUGUUAAAUCACAGUCAAGCACCUAUUUACCUAGUGGUAAAAUCCUUAAGUAAGUCAUAUUUGGUUGGGAAGAUCAAAGAAAUCACCCAGUCUCCCACAUCCGAAAUUGUGCA